GUUUUUGUGGUGUGUCCCGCACCGUCGCCACGUGUCGGCCUUUGUCUGCCUUUUCUGGCAUGAGCCAGCAGCCGAA